AAAAAAAAAAAAAAAAAUUUCAAAUGAAACACUAGAGUCUGGGGAUGUGGCUCAGCAGGAGAACAAUUGUCGAGCAUGUGUGAGGCUCUGGGUUUGAUCUCCCAGCUCAGCAAAAAGCAAACAAAACAAAAACAAAAACCUUUCCUCAAUUUCCUCCUCUAGGCUACUGCUCCAGAUUAGACGUGGGAGAGCAGCGUAGUCAGGACGAAGGUGACAUCACCAAGGCAAGUGUGGGAGCUCUCACCAGAGCACAGCUGGGUUUUGCACGGUGAGAAGCUCUGGCGACCUCGCUCGAAUCAGCGGGGAGCGGGUGGGGGCGGGGGUGCUAAGCGUGCCAGUGUGGCAGCACCGCCGCUGGGACAAGGCACCGGUUUUAGUCUAUAACGGCUACUUGCCAGGCUCGGCCCUUCUGGAUGAGACCAUCUAUCUUCACCCCUGUGGCCCCAGGGCUUUGGCAUCGCUCGGGCUGGGCUCCAACACCCCCUGUACCCCUCACAGGCUGUAUGGCACUGGGGCGGUGGCCCUGCCUCCCUGAGCCUGUGGUUCCCUAGCUAUUAAACGCGAAUGACAUCACUGUGUAGCUCCUGUAACUACGAAGAAUUACAAGUGCUCAGGAAACGUCCUAGAGAGCGCGGACCAAGCGUCUGAGCGCAGCGCCGGGACAGACUGGCCCCAGCACGGGCUGUGAGCGCCAGUCUGGAGACAGAUGUGGCGCUGAAUCCCGCCCUUAGCGUGAAACCGCUGUGUGCACUCGGGCAGGUUACUUAGGCUUCGUAAGCCCCAGCCACUAAACACGCUUACAGUGCGUUUACAGCUUCUCGGUACGCAAGGUGGGGGUCUUAGUACAGCACUCCCAGGACUGACACAAAUCUGCAGUCAGAUGCUCACAAGCACCCUGGCUCAGUGCUCCCCGAGCAGGAGCGCGCGCGAAUAUUAGGGCCUCACGGGCCGCCUGGAGGGACUGUGGGCUGUGGGCUGGGGCUGGGGCGCCGACUUGACCGGGACGGACCUGGGGACGUCCUCCGGCGGCGUCCUGCGGAAGGUCCGCCUGGGCUCGGGCCACUGCCUCGAGCUUGGGGCCCACGCUCCUGCGCUCCCUGGGGCACACACCCCCCGGGCUGCCCGCCGGCUCAAGGUGUUUCCCUUCGCCUGGUAACCGGGAGGCGUGGCUGCGGCGGGGCUAGGAGCGGAGAAGCCCCGUCCUCCACGCCUUGGGCUCCCCUAGAUGCUGGAGACCGCCAGGCUGACGGACACAGCCCGCAGCUGGAGGCCCGCCGCUGAGGUCCAGACCAUGCUUCCCUUCGUCUCCCUGCCGAGCACGGAGGGCGCGGGCGGCCGCGCAGC
rnacentral:lncRNA from 1 species